GAAAAGAAACUAACAAGGAUUCCCCUAGUAACUGCGAGUGAAGCGGGAAAAGCUCAAAUUUAAAAUCUGGCAGUCUUUGGCUGUCCGAGUUGUAAUCUAGAGAAGUGUUAUCCGCGCUGGACCGUGUACAAGUCUCCUGGAAUGGAGCGUCAUAGAGGGUGAGAAUCCCGUCUUUGACACGGACUGCCAGGGCUUUGUGAUGCGCUCUCAAAGAGUCGAGUUGUUUGGGAAUGCAGCUCAAAAUGGGUGGUAAAUUCCAUCUAAAGCUAAAUAUUGGCGAGAGACCGAUAGCGAACAAGUACCGUGAGGGAAAGAUGAAAAGAACUUUGGAAAGAGAGUUAAACAGUACGUGAAAUUGCUGAAAGGGAAACGCUUGAAGUCAGUCGCGUUGGUCAGGGAUCAACCUUGCUUUUGCUGGGUGUACUUCCUGGUUGACGGGUCAGCAUCAAUUUUGAUCAUUGGAAAAAGAUCAGGGGAAUGUGGCAUCCUUGGAUGUGUUAUAGCCCUUGGUUGUAUACAAUGGUUGGGAUUGAGGAGCUCAGCACGCCGCAAGGCCGGGUUUUUACCACGUACGUGCUUAGGAUGCUGGCAUAAUGGCUUUAAUCGACCCGUCUUGAAACACGGACCAAGGAGUCUAACAUGCCUGCGAGUGUUUGGGUGGAAAACCCGAGCGCGCAAUGAAAGUGAAAGUUGAGAUCCCUGUCGUGGGGAGCAUCGACACCCGGACCUGACCUUUUGUGACGGCUCCGCGGUAGAGCAUGUAUGUUGGGACCCGAAAGAUGGUGAACUAUGCCUGAAUAGGGUGAAGCCAGAGGAAACUCUGGUGGAGGCUCGUAGCGAUUCUGACGUGCAAAUCGAUCGUCAAAUUUGGGUAUAGGGGCGAAAGACUAAUCGAACCAUCUAGUAGCUGGU
rnacentral:rRNA from 2 species